rnacentral:rRNA from 1 species
UCAAGCUAUAAAGAGCAUAGGGUGGAUGCCUUGGCACCAAGAGCCGAAGAAGGACGUGGUCAGCUGCGAUAAGCCAUGGUCAGCCGCAAGCAGGCAAUGACCCAUGGAUUUCCGAAUGCGGAAACGCGGCACGUUAACAGCGUGUCAUCAUGUCAUGAAUAAAUAGUGACAUGAGGGGAACCCGGUGAACUGAAACAUCUAAGUAGCCGGAGGAAGAGAAAGAAACAUCGAUUUCCUUAGUAGCGGCGAGCGAAAGGGAAAGAGCCCAAACCGAGGGUCUACGGACGUUCGGGGUUCGGACUUGCAAAAAUCGAAGUACUUAUAGACGAAGAGGUUUGGAAUUUCCUACCAAAGAGGGUAACAGUCCCGUAGUCGAAAUGAGUACAAGAGGGCGAGAAUCCAGAGUACCACAGGACACGAGUAAUCCGGUGGGAAGACGGGGGGCCCACCCCCCAAGGCUAAAUACUACUUGGUGACCGAUAGCGUAUAGUACCGUGAGGGAAAGGUGAAAAGAACCCCGGGAGGGGAGUGAAAGAGUACCUGAAACCCUAUGUUUACAAGCAGUGGGAGCGAGAGCGACCAUGUACUUUUUGUAGAACGGGCCGGCGAGUUACUGUGUGCAGCGAGGUUAAGUUGUUAAGCAACGGAGCCGAAGGGAUACCGAGUCUGAAAAGGGCGUAAAGUUGCAUGCAGUACACCCGAAACCGGGUGACCUAUCCAUGGACAGGAUGAAGCGGCGGUAAGACGCCGUGGAGGUCCGAACCACACGUAUGUUGAAAAAUGCGGGGAUGAGCUGUGGAUAGCGGAGAAAUUCCAAUCGAACUCGGAGAUAGCUGGUUCUCCCCGAAAUAGCUUUAGGGCUAGCCUCAUAUUAGAUACCCGGAGGUAAAGCACUGAAUGGCCUAGCGCCCGAGAGGGUAGCGAAGCCUAUCAAACUAAGAAUGCCGGAGUAUUGAUGUAUGGGAGUCAGACAGUGUGAGAUAAAUCUCAUUGUCAAAAGGGAAACAGCCCAGAUCUACAGCUAAGGUCCCAAAUUGUAUCUAAGUGGAAAACGAUGUGGAAAUACGCAGACAACCAGGAUGUUGGCUCAGAAGCAGCCACUCAUUUAAAGAGUGCGUAAUAGCUCACUGGUCGAGCGUCUCUGCGCGGAAAAUUUAACGGGGCUAAGAUACAAACCGAAGCUUAGGCUGCAUCGUAAGAUGCGGGGUAGGGGAGCGUUGUGUAAGCGGAGAAACAGUAGCGUAAGCGGCUGUGGAGUUUACAGAAGUGAGAAUGCCGGAAUGAGUAGCGCGAAUGUGGUGAGAAUCCACAUGGCCGGAAACCUCAGGUUUUUGGAGGAAGGUUCGUCCGCUCCAAGUUAGGCGGGAGCUAAGGUCAGGCCGAAAGGCGUAGCCGAUGCACAGACGGUAGAGAUUCCGUCCCCACCGAAAGAUUUAAGCACAGGGACACUUUUUGAAGGUCGGAGCCAGGUGUUGGUUCUGGUAGUGAUCGAGGGAAAUUUAGUACCGAAGUCUGGCUGGAUAAGAGGCGAGAAAAGCUGUGUGUAUAUCUAAGGUGCCCGUACCGCAAACCGACACAGGUAGGUAGGAAGAAGAUUCUAAGGCCAACGGGAGAAGGGUUGUUAAGGAACUCGGCAAGUUGACCCCGUAACUUCGGAAUAAGGGGUGCUCACGAGAGUGAGCCGCAGAGAAUAGGCCCAGGCAACUGUUUACCAAAAACACAGGUUUGUGCUAAAUCGAAAGAUGACGUAUACGAGCUGACGCCUGCCCGGUGCUGGAAGGUUAAGAGGAGAUGUGCAAGCAUUGAAUCGAAGCCCCAGUGAACGGCGGCCGUAACUAUAACGGUCCUAAGGUAGCGAAAUUCCUUGUCAGGUAAGUUCUGACCCGCAUGAAAGGCGUAAUGAUUUGGGCACUGUCUCAACAGCCCGCCCGGCGAAAUUGUAGUACCGGUGAAGAUGCCGGUUACCCGCGACAAGACGGAAAGACCCCAUGGAGCUUUACUGUAGCCUAAUAUUGGGUUUCGAUGUUGCAUGCACAGGAUAGAUGGGACACUGGGAAGCAAGAGCUUUGGCGUUUGUGGAGUGGCCGUUGGGAUACCAUCCUUGCGAUAUUGGAAUUCUAACCUGCGCCUUUGAAUCAAGGCGGGGGACAUUGUUAGGUGGGCAGUUUGACUGGGGCGGUCGCCUCCUAAAGAGUAACGGAGGCGUUCAAAGGUUCGCUCAGCUUGAACGGAAAUCAAGCAAAAGAGUGCAAACGCAGAAGCGAGCCUAACUGCGAGACUGACGGGUCGAGCAGUAACGAAAGUUGGAGUUAG